GAGCUUCGAAGCCUAAGGAAAAGCAGCCGAAAGGUGAACUAUCCUUAGGAUUGAGAUCUCCACCCUUUGUUUACAUUACCUUUGUUGCUUUAGCAGGCCCGCUCUCGGGCCGCCGGCUUAGGCUGGCCAGUGCCUGCUAGAGGACCUAAAACUCUUGUUAAUAAUAUUGUCUGAGUACUAUAUAAUAGUUAAAACUUUCAACAACGGAUCUCUUGGUUCU
rnacentral:misc_RNA from 1 species